UACAGAGGUCUCAAGCGUUGUUCGGAUUCAUUGGGCGUAAAGGGUGCGUAGGCGGCGCGGUAAGUCGGGUGUGAAAUCUCGGAGCUUAACUCCGAAACUGCAUUCGAUACUGCCGUGCUUGAGGACUGGAGAGGAGACUUGAAUUUACGGUGUAGCGGUGAAAUGCGUAGAUAUCGUAAGGAAGACCAGUGGCGAAGGCGGGUCUCUGGACAGUUCCUGACGCUGAGGCACGAAGGUCAGGGGAGCAAACGGG
rnacentral:rRNA from 1 species